rnacentral:misc_RNA from 1 species
GGUGUUGGCCUUUUAAUCAUAAUGGUGGGCGUGAGUUUAUUCAAUUGGUACAAAUAUGAAAAGCUACAAAAGCGUCAAAUGAGUGAAGAUGACGUGGCUGGUUCGCCUAUGGCAAAUGUUGCUGCAAAAUAUGUUAUACUUGAGGAAAUGGAUGAUGAUGGUUAGAGCUUUUGCAUUGAGUGAGUCUCUUAUAGUUCCUUCAACAGAUAUUGUCACUAUGCAAUUUGCAAAUUCCGGCUUAUUACUUCUCAUCAGCUUUAUUACUUGAAAAGUUUUUAUGCCGUUCACAUUGUUUUGAUAUGUUGUUUUCUGCACUAGCGUAUUGCAAUUUGACAUUUUGAAACCUAAGAGAUGCUGGUGAAAUUUAGGUUGGUUGUUGGAGAAGCUAAAGAUGAGUACUGCUGGCAACUAAUGUCUAUUUGCAGUAUUUGCCGAUUUCCUCAUUGACAUUUGCACUUUUCCUUGUACUUUAUAUUGUGGGUCAAGAAAUUUUGAGAUACUGUAAGGGUCAAGAAUUAUUCCUCGACUUUUUGCCUUGCCAUGAUUACAGGAGCAUAUUUUUUUUAUCCAAAGCUUCUCAAGCUUUGGGUUAUGUAGCGGGGAAUAUUUUGCCACUUUUGUUAAUGCCUAGUCGAUUCAAUUGUGGGUCCUCCCCUGUCUUCCUAUUUGUUGUUACAACCAAUCUGUAUGUGGAUUUGCUUUUCUCAGGAGGAACAGUUGUUACGCUUGUUAAUGUGUAUUGCUAAAUCAGUGAUAAUGUCAGCCUAGGGUAUUUUCCUGUUCUGUUAUGCUUCCUUUUGUUGCUUCUGUAAAUCUGUAUAACAAGUUUUUGAAAAUAGAAAGACCAAGUAUGC